rnacentral:lncRNA from 1 species
GCUCUGCGUCUGGUCCCUCAGGGCGAGCGUGAGCCUGGGAGAUGGCAGUGAUGGAAAUGGCCUGCCCAGGCGCCCCUGGUUCGGCGGCCGGGCAGAAGGAGCUCGCCAAGGCCAAGGAGAAGACACAGGCGAUGGGCAAGAAGCAAAACCCCGCUAACAAGCUCGAGGCCGUAGAGAAGAGCCCUGUGUUCUGCGGGAAGUGGGAUAUCCUGAACGACGUGAUCACCAAAGGCACAGCCAAGGAAGGCUCCGAGGGAGGACUGGCCGCCAUCUCCAUCAUCGCGCAGGCCGAAUGUAAGGGCCCGGGCUGGGGACAGAGAGGGCAGGUGGGCGGGCCUACAGGUGGGCACGGUCCCUGUGCCAGGGUGGCACGGCGCAGGGGUGGGAGGUCAGGGCAGCGGCUCUCUGAGAUUUUCACAAGACACAGCCUGGGGGGUAGGCCAAGAAUGAGUCGAAGCAGGAGCCGUAACGGUGCCGGGGAACAGAGCACAGAAGGGAGGAGUGGCGCAGGGAGGCGUUUGCCCGUCACGACCGGAGCAGGGGAAGAGAGCUGGGAGGCUUCACAGGUCCUAGGGCUCUUGGCAGGAUCGUCUGGCAGGCCAUUAGCCUUGUGCUGUGACCUUGGGCAGCCUGAGCAUCUCUGGAGAGGCCCCAGACAGGAAAGGCCAGGUCUCCUGGAAAGCCCCUCUGGGGCCUGUAGGCCCUUCACCACCUUCCAUGCUGAGGUGGCCCCACCCUAGAGAAUGAACACCUGCUCUUGGGCCUGCUGAGCCAGUUGAGGGGACAUAGGCCACUCCAGGGCGGGGCCUGGUCUGGUCCUUUCUGCUUCCACCCAAGAUACUUCAAAAUGACUCUGCCUGGUGACUGCCACCAGAGCCUGAGAAACCCCCAGGUGCCUGGGUGAGGCCAGAAGCCCUCCUCUCUCUCUCCCCUGCCCUCCAAGAGGCUUUCUCGGGGGAGAGCCCGGCAGCUCGUGGUGGCAUUUUCCCACCUAUACACAUCUUGCCCUGAGUUCCGCUUCCUUCUGGCUGGUUUUUGAGAAGCGAUGAGAGAAUACAAAUUAAAAUGGAGUGAGCGAGAUGCCCGUGGUCAUAAUACACGCAUUUACACACAUAACAGACGUCCACAAGAGCUGAUACUUACUGAACUGUUACUACGUGCCCGGCACUCUGUUGGGUGUGUUAUGUGUUAUAUAGAUCAUCUCAGUUAAGGGCCACGGUGAAGUGAGGUGGGCACCCUUAUCACCCCCUAUUAUCAGCAUGCCCUUUGCUCUUGUUGGCAGGGGGGGUGGGCCAGCAGGCAGGUGGCGAGGCCGAGGCACGGCAGCCCAAGAGGGUAUCUGUAAAAUGUCUGUCUCCUCAGUGCCGAGUCCCUCUUCUUCCGCUCCUCCUUUCUGCCUGUCCAACCUCUCUUUUCCUUGACUCACAAGGUGAGAACAGCCAAGAGUUCAGCCCUACCUUUUCAGAGCGGAUUUUCAUCGCCGGGUCCAAACAGUACAGGUAAGGAGGCCAGCUUGCAUGGGGCCCAGGGAACUGAAACCGCGUCAUCCCUCCUCCCCCAGCUGCUCGCUCAGGCCGCUCCCAAGUGACCCCUGGCUCCCUCCUCCAGCACCUGUGGUUCAGCUCUUGGAGCCCGCCCAGGUUUUCCUGGCUGAACCGCUCUGUCAGCCAAAGAAGCUUUUCAAAAGCUUUUCAUGGCGUGUGGAUGACUGCCUCUGGGUCCCAUCAGCUUGACGUUUUAUUUUUAUUCUCCUCGGAGUCCUUGCUGCUCCCCCUCGUUUCCCAUCAAUAGGGAGGGUGCUGGGAACAGGAGUCUUUUUCCCACUGGUGCGUGACCAUGAGUGCAGGCGCCGAGGGGCCGCUCGAACUAUGAGAGAAACCUGCUGGUGUCUUUUCCCCUUCGAGACACACCCAAGGAGGGAUGAAGGUUUGGGAUCAGAAAGGGACCGACGGAUUCACAGCUGGGGGGCCCCGUGGAAAGGAGGCUAGAAGGGGGCUCAGUCUGCUCCCCGGGCUCCCCAUCCCCAAAGAUGGUUUUUGGCCAACUGCAGGUUGAACCUGGAAAACAGUUCCCUCCUCUACCAACAGACGGACUUUUUUAUCAUGGGGAUUUGGAAAGCGUUCGUGAUGAAAAGGUUGUGGGGAAGGCUGCUGCUUUUGCACCAGGAAAUGUUCAGUGUUUGAUCCGAUUCCUUAUGCCGCCCCAGACGCCUUUCGGCCCAGAGUAGGGGGUUUCUGAUGGGCCCAUUUCUUUCAGGUGAUGGGAGAAGCCCAUAGGCCUCUAGCAGUCCCCCCCACCCCACCCCCCACCCAAGACUGGUGUGAGUCUGCCUCCUUUGCGGGGGGGCAGAAGAUGAGGCCAUUUGGGGGGGGGGGCAGCUAAGGUUGCGGCUUUUUCAGACACUAUUCUGUGGCCAAUGCCUUAAUGCCUGGCAGGGGGAAAGCCAGCUUGGAUCCAUGGUGGUAGUGAGCCUGUAGGCUGUCGGAGGAGGGGAGGCUCCCCUGAUACCAGGCAUCAGCCCAGCCACGGUGUCUGUUUAUACAGCAACUUACAUUCCCAGAAACCAGGUAUCUCCAGGAACCAGUGCCGGGGGGUUGGUGCCCAAACUCAACCGUCCCUCCGUCCAGAGGCAACAGAAACAGACUGUUGUCAGAGCUGAGAAUGCCCGCUGGGGAGUGUGGCCCUCCUAGCCACACGCCCCCCGACCCCGGGACCUCUCCAGGGGCAGCCCACCCUGGAGAGCGGUGAGAGAACCUCACGUCCUCCCAUUCCCGGCCCCCCCCCAGAGAGCCGUGUGCACCCCAUCACGGUAGUAAUAGCUGCUGUCUAUCGGAAGCUUGCCUUGGGAUCAGGCGCCGAGGUAGGCUUUCUAAAUGAGCGGUUUCCUUUAAACCUCAUCUUCCUCUGCAUGGCAGGAAAUCCUACACCCAUUUUAUAAAUGAGAAAAUGGAGGCUCCUUGGGGCUUAGGAACUCACCCACGUUCACACAAGGACUCCCUGGGCUGGGAUCUGAGCUCAGGUCUCCACGACUCUAACUGCAGUUACCCGAGCUGUUCCGCCUUCCUGCCUCCUCACACUCGACGUGCGUAUCCGUCCCUUUUGACAGCCAGUCCGAGAGUCUCGAUCAGAUCCCCAACAAUGUGGCCCACGCAACCGAGGGCAAAAUGGCCCGUGUGUGUUGGAAGGGGAAGCGUCGCAGCAAAGCCCAGAAGAAACGCAAGAAGAAGAGCUCCAAGUCCCUGGCUCAGGCGGGAGCGGCCUUGGCCAAACCCCUCCCCAGAACCCCGGAGCAGGAGAGCUGCACUGUCCCCGUGCAGGUGAGCCCCGCCAGCGCCCCCCAGACCCCAGGCUCGUGGGGCCUUCGGGACGGUGCCCGUGCCUCAGCCUGGCCCUGUGUAUGUACUACCACCUGUGUUUUCCCCCACAGGAGGAUGAGUCCCCACUGGGCCCCCCAUAUGUGAGGAACGCCCUCCAGUUCACCAAACCUCUGAAGGAGCCGGGCCUCGGCCAACUCUGUUUCAAGAAGCUCGAGGAGGGCCUGCGGCCGGCACUGCCUCGAUCAGAACUCCACAAACUGAUCAGCCCCUUGCAAUGUCUAAAUCACGUGUGGAAACUCCACCACCCCCAGGAUCUAGGCCCCCUGCCCCAGCCCGCUCACCCCUUCCCCUACAGCAGACUGCCCCAUCCCUUCCCGUUCCACCCUCUCCAGCCCUGGAAACCUCACCCCUUAGAGUCCUUCUUCCUAGACAAACUGGCCUGUAUAGACAGCCAGCAGCCCCUGUCCGGCCCCCACCUGGGCAAACUGGCCUGUGUGGACGGUCAGAAGCCUGUGCCCGGCCCACACCUGGAGCCCGGGUGCCCAUCCCGGGGCCCGUAUGACAAGUUUUCUGUGGAGGAGUACAUGGUACACGCCCUGCAAGGCAGUGUGAGCUCAGGCCAGGCCCACAGCCUGGCCAGCCUGGCCAAGACCUGGUCGGCAGGAGGUUUCAAGCCCCAGAAGCCCAGCCCUGAAACGAUGGACAGCGAGGGGGUCCUGCUUACAGAGGUAAGCCAUCCCCCAAACACAGGUACAUGUACCACCGGCUCUGGGGCCCAGAGCAGCAGCCGGCCGUCAGGCGGGACCUGUUCUGGGGGGGGGAGGGGGGGGGGCGAAGCAUCACUGGAAACCUGCCAGACCCUUUUUACUUCCCACCUUUGCGGGGAGUCGGGGCGGGGGGGAGUGGGGCGGGGCAUAGUCUUCACUCUGUAUCGAAGUAUCUGUAUCGUCAUCAGAUAGUCGGAAAGUGCUCAUCCCUGUCAAGAGGCGGUAUCCCCUGCUCCACCUCCAGAUCAUUCUUCAGGCUUUUUAGAUAUUUCUGCUUUGAGUUCUUCUGAAGUUAUUGCCGAACUUAUUAAGUUAUUGCUGAAGAGUGUGUGUGUGUGUGUGUGUGUGUGUGUGUUGAAUGAUACACAUACUGAGAAAGAGGAAUAAGCAAGCAUCAACUGCACAUGUUCCCUCCUGACCCCUGCUAUGAAAGGCGAGGAUUUUGACCAUCUGCAUAUCCCCCUGGCCUUCCUCUUUCCCUCCAGUGCUCUGCUGGAGAGCUUUAUAACUCUAAGAUGAUUUUACCAGACUUCAAUUUCUGGGGUUUAUUCCAUCCAUCUUUGACAUGAUCCCUUGUCCCCCACCCCUCUUCAUGGUCCCUUCCCUUUCUUCUACCUUAUAGCUUCGGAGCUAUACUUUUGGUCAUGGUUGUUGAUAGUUCCAUUUUUUUAAAGUUUGAUUUAUUUAUUUUGAGAGAGGGGUUGGGGGCCGGGGGUGGGGCAGAGAGAGAGGAGAGAGAAUCCCAUGCAGGCUUCGCCCUAUCAGUGCAGAGCCCCGUGCGGGGCUCAAACCCAUGACCUGAGCCAAAGUCAAGAGUCAGACGCUUAACCGGCUGAGCCUCCCAGGCGCCCCGACAAUUCCAUUUGUGUCCCACAACCGCAAGUCUGGGGAGAAGGAUCUUUCGCCACAAGGGUCGGCUUAGCUUGGGCAGCCGGCGAGGCUGUCCACUGCCUUCACUUUUUUCCUGUAACUCCCUCUGGUCCUGCCCCUGCAGAGCCCUGCCUCAGACCCGGGGGUGUCUUUGGUGGUGAGGGCUCUGCCCCAGCAGCCUGGCAAGGACGACCAGCCAGAGAGCCUUCCUCACUGUAACCCUUCGUCCCGCCCGCUGCCCUGGUCACUGAAACUGGCUUCUGUCUCCUGCCAACCCCAGAAACUCAAGCCGGUGGAUUAUGAGUACCGAGAGGAGGUCCACUGGGCCACGCGCCAGCCCUGCCUGGGCAGAGGCUCCUUCGGAGAGGUGCACAGGAUGCAGGACAAGCAGACUGGCUUCCAGUGUGCGGUCAAAAAGGUAGGCCCGAAAGAAAAAGGUGCGCCUGGGCUCCGGGGGCUGCAGAGGGAAGCCAGGCAGGUGGCCUGUUGUGUUCCUUCUGCUUUCUUUCAAGGGCAAUCACAGGGCAGCCAUGGCUCUGGCUUGUUAACAGAGCCUGGCUGUCGCUGGGCACCCUGGGGUCAGCUGGAGCCGGAAGGGAGCAGUCUCGGUCACAUGUCCCGGCCUGGGAGCUGCACUUGGUGUGCAUGUGUCAGAUGGAGUAUGCAAGUGUGCACGCGUCCUGGGCCACUCCUGAUGCCGGGGCCCUUAGGGGCAAGUCCAAACCUGGAAGGUGUUGGCUCGUCGUGCAAUUCGUGUUGAGCUGAAACCCCUAAACCACAUAGUGGGGCUGCUCACGCCUGGGCCAGAAGGUAAAAACCACCACAACAAUAACCUGCCCCUAACGGGUGCCUCUUGGACGAGGCCAUGCGCUUGGGACGUCAGAUCUGAUUUCGGUUUGGGCUCUGCCUCCUGCUGGCGGGAAUAAUAGGUCCUGGGAGGUGGACCUUAUGAGGAAAUGAGACUUAGCAAGAGACCCAGGCUUGGCUAGCUCCAGAGUCUGGCUACGAUCCACUCUGUAGGAAGUGGGCAGGGGAAGAGACUCAUGGUCCUGGGAAUCGACGGGAGCAGGGGCGUGAAUCGCCUCCCCUGCUCCCUCGUUUCACCAGGGUAGAACCGGGGACCGGAGAAGGUAGCGUGCCUUGUCUAGAACCGUAGAGCUGGGCCUGGAACUGAGGCCUCCUUGUGCCGCAGCAGAACACAGACCUUGGUGCUGGCUCUUGCUCCCCUUCAGGUGUCUUUUCUCCUACCCCCACCCUCAGUUCACCUUGACUGGAAGCCACCUUGUCCUCGGCCCAAACUCAGCCUCAGAGCUAGUGCCCAGGACCGCAAGAGGCUGAAAUGAGAAACGUUUCGAGGGGCCGUUUUCUUGGCCCGUGACAAAAGGAAAUAAGCUAGCUCCCCGGUAGACCUUGUUUUCAAGCAGGUCUUGUCAGGGACCCUCUGCUCCCCCCAAAGGGAAGAGGACCAAAGGCACGCUCAGCCCCGUGGCUGCUUGUGGCUUUCAGCGGUGAGGACGCAAAUUGUGAUGUGAAUACCCUGAAUACCCUGGCUUCCUUGGCUUGUAGGUGGGCCGGGAUGUUACAGUUGGAGAGCUUGGGCCCCCGGGUGAUGGGCUGAGAGGGGGACUAUCCGUAGGUAUUACCCCAAACUUCAGACACACUGUGUCAACGGAGCGGGCCCCACCCCCGCCUCCCCCCGCCGGCCCAGGCACGUGCUGAGUGCCCGCCAGCGUGGGCCGGCAUUUCCCACUGGGUGCCAAGGCCAUGUGCCCUCCCCGGGCCAUCGGAGAAGGCUCAGCUGUCCCUCCUGAAGGCUGGGUGGGAGGAGAGCGAGAGUAUGAAGUGUCCUGGAGUCCAGUGCCCAGCGCUAGGGGAGCUUAGUCACUGGGCUUCUCAGCUGUCACCCUGCUGAGGUUCUCCGGGGUCCCAGGCAACAAGGAAAACAACCCUGAUAUAGUAGAAGACAGAUACUCCAUUUCUCACCUCCCCAAGGCAGGCGGAAAAGUUCCAAGCACAACGAGUAGGCUCCCCAGGGCCAGAACUGGCCGCUUCCAGAAUCUGCCUCCCCGACCCAAGAGCUCAGUGGGGUGGCUUUGGGGCCGCCCACACAGCUGCCAUCGGGUGGGCAGACAGCCCCUCCUUUUUCUCCUUUUUCUGGGGUGGGGGGGCAGGAUGUAGAGCAGGCACUGGGGGAGGGGGCAGGGAUCAGAGGUCAGAGCGGGUCUGUGCACUCUCCAGUGUUCCCUGAGGAAGAUCCAGCAUGUGGAACAACAGCACUUCCUUGGUCCUCCUUCUAGAACAUCCAUGGCCUCGGGUCAGAUGCUGACUGGUCACAAGUCCAGGGUUUAACGCACGGGGGUCUGUUCACUUUGUUAAGGCCUUGUUUGAUCUUUUAAUGGCAAAUAAACACAGGCUCAUUAUAGAAGAUUUCAAAGGAUACCCCAAAACACAAAAGUCCUUGUUGCCCAAUCCCGUUCGCAGAGGCAGCUGCCCUUUGACAUCUUUUUAGACUUUUUAUGCAUACAUAAACAUGUAGUUGCUUUUAUUAAAACGAGACUACUCUAGAGGCUGUCCUGUGCCAUAUGUUCCAUGUGAUCGCAUAUCGUGGACACAGUUCCUUAUUGGUACAUCCAUGUCUCUCUAGUGCUUUUUAUCAGCCGACGUGGAAGUUUGUAUCCUCGCCAGUGGAUGAAUUUAUAGAACGUGUGAACUCCUGGAACUUUGUUCAAUGGUGUAUCUGUGUGUGGCACACACAUUUUGGAUGGGGAAGCAUCCGUUAUCAUGUAUCAGGUGUUAAAGACGUCUGUGGCCCAAAGAGGGUUAAGAACCAUUCAUUUAAGAACAUCUGGCUCCUGCAUGGAGUUCUGGGAGCCUCCUUUUGACUCUGCCUCCGAUCGGGUUAGUGUGGCCUUGGCCCAACCCAGCCGUUACCAAGCACCUGGUCUGUGCCAGAUACGGCGCCAGGGGCUAGAGGCAAAGCUGCGGAAUCCACACCCCCGGAAAGGCUUGGCGACGUUGUAAUGGGGGAUGGACAUUUACAUGGCAUAAAGGUGGUAGAAAGCAGCCGUCAGCAAGGUACACCAGUGAGGGCAGCCUGGACGAGCGCUGAGAAGGGGAUCUAGGACUGAGGGGAGAGUAUCUCCAUGGCGACGAGGAAAUGGGGGGACCCCUCUGUUUAUUUGACUACUGUGCGCCCAGUACUGUGAGUUACUUUUCACGUAUCUUACGUUCCCGGGAUCUUUAAAAGAAUUUACAGAAUUGCUAUUUUCCGCGUUUUUACUGAUGAAAUAAAAUGGAUACAGAUACUGACCAAGAGGGAGAGUUUUAAGAAAGAAAAGUCAAUCCCCAGUGUCAGCAUGCAGGCAGUUAAGCGGGGGAAGUGGCUUGUGGACUUGGCAGUCAGGGGAUUGCUGACUGCGCUCCCACCUACACGCUCCCAAAUGUACGUGAGAACGUCCUGGAUGUAAGAGCUGAUACUCCUGGGAAGGCCUUCGGUGAGGCGGGGCAGCUGGCAUCCCAGAGUCAGGCUUCCCCAACCAAAACCCCACCUCUGAGACUUCCUACCAGUGACCUUGGGCAAGUUAUUUGUCCAGACUCUAGCUUCCUCAUCUGUAAAUUGGAGAUAAUGAGAAUACCACCCCAUAGGCUAUUGUAAGAUGUAAAUAACGAAUGCUCAUAAAGUGCUUAGAAUGGUGCCUCGCAUGUGUUCAGUGGGCAGUGAAUAUUAGUUUUCGUGAACACCCUCACCAUAGUCCAGCCCCUUGCUUUAACAGAUGAGGACCCUGAGGUCCAGGGAGGAGAGGUGGGCCAGCUGGGCGGCCGUGUGCUUUCUCUCCAGCUGCGCCGCUUGGGACUGCCCUUUCUGCUUGCUCUCCCUGGGGCUGGCACAGACUUCUAAAUCACCUUGGGGGCGCCUGGGUGGCGCAGUCGGUUAAGCGUCCGACUUCAGCCAGGUCACGAUCUCGCGGUCCGUGAGUUCGAGCCCCGCGUCGGGCUCUGGGCUGAUGGCUCGGAGCCUGGAGCCUGUUUCCGAUUCUGUGUCUCCCUCUCUCUCUGCCCCUCCCCCGUUCAUGCUCUGUCUCUCUCUGUCCCAAAAAUAAAUAAACGUUGAAAAAAAAAAAAAUUUAAAAAAAAAAUAAAUAAAUAAAUAAAUCACCUUGUGUUUUGGAGUGUCCCCUCUGACCCGCCCCCACCCGGGUCUGGGUGAGAAUUGAAAAAAAAAUUUUUUUAAGAUUUUCAUUUUUAUUUUUUUUUAUUUUUUUUUAAUGUUUAUUUUUGAGAGAGAGACACAGACAUAGUGUGAGCAGGGAAGGGGCAGAGAGAGAGAGAGAGAGAGAGAGGGAGACUCGGAAUCUGAAGCGGACUCCAGGCUCUGAGCUGUCAGCACAGAGCCCAAGGCAGGGCUCACAAACCGUGAGAUCAUGACCUGAGCCAAAGUCAGACACUUAACCGACUGAGCCACCCAGGCGCCCCCUAAAGAUUUUUAUUUUUAAGUAAUUUCUACACCUAGUGUGGCUUGAACUUACAACUCUGAGAUCAAGAGUCAUGGGCUCUACUGACUGAGCCAGCCAGGUGCCCCUGGGUGAGAAUGUUCUCAACAUUACUGGAAUACUCCAGAGGACUUAUGGAUUUCUUAAAAGUUAGGGCAGAGGUUCCCAGCCUUUCUCGGUUUGCAGCCCUUAGUAUCAGUAAUUUUUCAUGACACCCCAGGCCAAAACAAAUACCUAAAAGUUCCAUUUAUUAAAGUAAUUAGGUCAAAUAAUAGUGUUUUUCCUAACAACUUAGUAGUUAUUUGAAUAACAAUACACAUAAGUUGAAAGGAAAUUUCCUUCUGUUCUUAAUCAUAACUACUAACGGGAUGUAUGCCUCGUUGGGCACUGCACAACUUCUCAAAAUUUUGAAAUCAGAUCAGACAUCCUCAGCUUCAUAUCCUGCUUCCUAUCCCCCCCUCAAAGUACUUGUAUCCCCGCAAGCUCCAAAAGCCUAGCUUCGUAAAGAUACAUGGAAAGAAUGGAGCGCAAGCUAAUGUCGAAACUGAACUAUCUUGAGGGAGUAAUUUACGCGGUGUCCCACAGAUAACCAUCAUCCCUGCUCCCCUCAAAAGUAAAACAUCUCGGGGGCGCCUGGGUGGCCCAGUCGGUGAAGUGUCCGACUCUUGGUUUCGGCUCAGAUCAUGAGCUCACGGUUUCGUGAGUUCAAGCCCCAUCUGGCUCUGCGCUGGCAGCGUGGAGCCUGCUUCGGAGGAUUCUCUGCCCCUCUCCCCCUCGUGCUCUCUCUGUCUCUCUCAAAAUAAAUAAACUAGAAAGAAAAGAAAGAAAGAAAGAAAGAAAGAAGAAAGAAAGAAAAAGAAAGAAAGAAAGAGAAAAAGAAAGACAAAGAAAAAGAAAGAAAGAAAGAAAAAGAAAAAGAAAGAAAGAAAAACAUCCUGCAGCACCCUGCCAAGUCCUCUGGGGUGCCCCAAACUGCUUCAGCUCCGUUUGGGAGCCCGAGAGUUAAAGACCUUUGCUAGUACGAGUCCUGAUGGUGAAUUCAUUCCAACUCAGGUUCAGAGCUGGAAACGCUGACAAAGAGUCAAAAUUUCUGCAAGUUGAUUAACCAGACCAGAUACUCUGUAACCAAAAGAGAGAAAUUUUCCACUGAUAGGCAAAAGUCCAAAAGCCCCACAUCGUCAGGGCUCCUGCCAAGUCAGCAUGUCUCCAAGCCAGACUGCCAGGUCCUGAGUGAUUUCUUCCAGGCUGGUUUUGUUGCCACCGGCGCCCCCUGGUGGUACCUGUUAAGACUAACAGGAGAACCAGCGGCAACCGGACAGGAGAGGACAAGUGUCUGUUAGGACUUCUAAGUGUUUAAUAAGUUGCUCUUAUAUGAGCUGGAGGGAGGAAGGGGGCAGCUAACAUUUCCUGAGCACCCGCUGGUUGCGAGGCCUAGCGCUGGGUUAUCAUCCCUCCAAAUCCUCACUCUACGCGGGAGCAGAUGCCACUGUCAUCACCAUUUGCACAUGGAAACACAGCUUAAGGGACACACUCUACCUUUGGAAAUGGCCAAGCCAGAGUCUCAGUCUAGGAUGAUUGUGUCCUAGGCCUGUUUCUUCCCUCCUUGCUGUGCUCAUCCCUACACAAAGGAGUGGGUGGUCCCUAUGGGAGGGACCUUGGCCAAACCCCUCCCGUUAGAAGCCUCCUUUUGCCCAGAUCCCGGGGAAACAGCUGCAAACAGAAUAAACAGGCACUGCUCCGUCUACAUGGGCACUUUAGCCUUCAGGGGAAAGACAAAUAAUUACGAGCUGAGAAAAGUGCUGAGGAUCCAGAGGCACUGACAGAGCCAGGAUCCUUGGCUGCCAUCGGCUCUGGCUACAGAUAAGAUGGAAACCCAGCCUCUGAAGAGUAGACGUGGAUGUUGAUAAACAGAAGGUCUCAUGUCCUCGAAAUGGCCCAGACAUUUGGGCUGGGGCAAAAAAAAAGUUCUGUGUUUGGCAGAUUUGAGGGUGGGAGCGUGCCAGGAGCCUGGAUAAGGGCUGUAGUCUUUGUGAUUCCGUGUAUUUCCACACACAUCAGCAGUGCAGAAUUUUAACCAAGCACUGGAUGUUGAACCUGACCCCCCAGGGUAUACAGUUUAGUCUCUGUGGCUCCAGUAGGCCCACCAGGGCCCUGCCUGGCCUCAGAAUCAUCACUGGGAACAUCAGCAGUCUCUGUGCAGGGGCACUGGGGAACCAGCCCUUGUCCCUCACCCUGACUCACAGCUACCUCUGCGCCCUGCCAGGUGCGCAUCGAAGUGUUUCGGGCAGAGGAGUUGAUGGCAUGUGCAGGAUUGACCUCACCCAGAAUCGUCCCUCUGUAUGGAGCUGUGAAGGAAGGUCCUUGGGUCAACAUCUUCAUGGAACUCUUAGAAGGUAAGGAGCCAGGUUCAGAGCCAAGGGUUGACCUUGGUCCCCAGUUAUUCCAUUUUUAAUCUCUUGACCCUGCGACAUCAGCCGGAAAGGCCUACUUUCCACCACCUGCCCUUUGAAGGCCUUUGCCCGUGGCCUGCUUGCAGGCCUGGAAAUGCACCAUGUAAAGACUGGCCGUUGGUCUCCUAGGUGGCUCGCUGGGCCAGCUCAUAAAGCAGAAGGGCUGUCUGCCGGAGGACCGGGCCCUUUACUACCUAGGCCAGGCUCUGGAAGGGCUGGAGUACCUUCACACCCGAAGGAUUCUGCACGGAGAUAUCAAAGGUGAGGCUUGUGCCCCCACCGCCCUGGUCCCCAGCGGCCUCCUCCUUCCUUACCUCAACCUGCCUGACCUCCUCCCAGAUCUUCUGGGCCUGCCUGACCGUCCCCAGUGGCAGGUCCCACGUCAGGCUGGCAGGGCUGUGCUGGCAGGAGGGGGAAGUGUGUUCCCCAGGCCCUUAGCCCGGCACCCUAGUUGCCAGUGGGCAGUGCCUGCAGAGAACUGCAGAUGGAGUUCCUAAGCACUGGUGACCACUGGGGGAGGGUGGGGGCAGCAGAGCUGAGUGGCAGUGUCCCAAGAGUAAACUGUCCCCAGACCUCAGAGAUCCGCCUGCUGCCUGCCUCUAGCCCGAACUGAUAAACCUCCUCCCUUCCUUAUGACUAAUAAAACUAAUCAGAAGCAGGCAGCUGUCAUGUAGGGUCAGCCAGAAACUGCCUCCCUGGAGGUCCAGAUGGGGCUGGGGCCUGGAGUGACUCACCUGUUCCUCUUCUUCUCUGGGGUGGCCUGGCAGCUGACAAUGUGCUCCUGUCCAGCGAUGGGAGCCGUGCAGCCCUCUGUGACUUCGGCCAUGCUGUGUGCCUUCAACCCGAUGGCCUGGGGAAGUCCUUGCUCACGGGUAAGCCCUGCCUCCUGCCUCCCUCCCCCACGAUGACAGUCACCACUAGCCUUCACGAAGCAUUAGCCUUCUCCUGUGCUUUCUGUAAUAGCAGUCAGAGGUGUGAACCCUUUUUGUCCACAGUAUUUCAGCCCAUCAACAACCCUAGGUUAGCAGAAAGCUUUUGUUACGCUUAAAUGCAAGAAUGAGUAUCAGGUCCUCGUUUCUGAUAUUCCUGCUACACAGAGAAGGGAACGGAAAGGCUGGCCGCCUCUCAUCCAGCCUUUUCUGGGUGGCUCGGCUCCCAGCCUGUGGCCUCAGCCAUCCUGGGCCUCUGAGCAGUUUCUGGAAGCACAACACGAGGGCUGACCAAGAGGCCUGGGCUCUGUAGCUGGAGAAGCAUCUGUUUUUAACUUAAAUCUUCUGAUUAGUAAAGUAAUCCACAUCCAUUGUGACAUAUUUAGCAACUACAGAGUGAAGUGGUGUAGAAGAGGAGGGAAAAAGGAGCUACCCUGUUCCUCUUGCCCAGAGACAUAAUCACAAACAUUGUAGAUCACUCCUUCCAUCUCCUUUUUUUCUUCCUGUACCUCGUUAAGGCCAUUAUAACACAAUUCUGCUCUUUUUUCAUUUAUAGCGUUCUGCAUAAGGUUAUUUCCUCUUGACCAAAGGAAAAUCAACCUCUUAUUUAUUUAUUGAGAGAGAGAGAGAGAGAGAGCAGGGAAAGGGCAGAGGGAGAGAAUCCCAAGCAGGCUCCACAGUGUCAGCACAGAGCCCCAUGUGGGGCUCAAACCCACGAACUGCAAGAUCAUGACCUGAGCCGAAACCAUGAGUCAGACGCCCAACCGAGCCACCCCGGCACCCUAGGCAAAAACCUUUUAGAAGUGAUUCUCUGACAGGGCACCUGGGUGGCUCUCAGUUAAGUGCCAGACUUCGGCUCCGGUCAUGAUCUCAUGGUUUGUGGGUGCCAGCCCCGUGUCAGGCUGUGUGCUGACAGCUCAGCGCCUGGGGCCUGCUUCAGAUUCUGUGUCUCCCUCUCUCUCUCUGCCCCUCCUCUGCUCACCCUCUCUCUCUCAAAAAUAAAAAGCAUUAAAAAUUUUUUUAAGUGAUUCUCUAUCAUUAGAGGACUAUCUUGGUCAUUCUGAAGAUGUAUAUUGAAAACAGACACCUGCCUGUAUUAUGAAAAUAAUUUCUUUUCUAAAAUCUUUUGCAGAAAGUAGAACUAAGCUAAAAUAAAAAAUACAGAUCACCAGAGUGGGGGAAACAACUUCCUAUCUGGUAUCGAUCCUUCUAGUCUGCCUAGAAGUUUGUUUGGUUGUUUUUUUGUUUUUGUUUUUUUCACUUGCUAACAUUGCAGGAACAUCAUAACCAUUAAUUAGUCUCCUGCCACAUAAUUUCGAACGCCCAGGCCCCUCCCCAGUGUUAAAAAGCACUCUAAGAGUUUGGGCCAAUGGGUAGAGCCCAUAUUUUGGGUGAUGCCUUCUUUGUGCCAGUCUCCAGGGGAGCCCCUGACUUAGCUCAUCCCCGGCAGAUUUGAGCUGGAGGCUUUCUCUCUACUCGAGGCCCAUUAACAGAGACAAAUUCAAGGUAUCCCGGGAAUUGACUGGUGUGGUCACUGCCAAGGCUCUUGCCCCCCAGAGUUCACGGUUGGCUUUUCCGCCUCACCUCACCCCCCUCAGGGGACUACAUCCCUGGCACAGAGACCCACAUGGCUCCAGAGGUGGUGAUGGGCAAGCCCUGUGACGCCAAGGUGGACGUGUGGAGCAGCUGCUGUAUGAUGCUUCACAUGCUCAACGGCUGCCACCCUUGGACCCAGUACUUCAGAGGGCCACUGUGCCUCAAGGUCAGUGACAGCAUGCGGGAGGGCCAGGAGGCCCACGGGCCCGGGGCUGCAGACUUGGGGCGGUCCCCAUUUUGGCUGCUCUUCCGUGGCCGAUGGGAACAGGAAGAGGCCUCAUCGUAAACGUGGGAGCCUCACUAAAACACUUGCCACCCAGAUCGGUGGGCCCAAGGGGACAUCCCAGGUGAAGGAUCUCCUUAGGUUCAUGGCAGGUCAGCGCUGUCUUCCACUCGUACGCUGGGUGCUGGGAAGUGAGCGUUGCCUUCUGACCCACAGAUUGCCAGCGAGCCGCCGCCUGUGAGGGAGAUCCCACCGUCCUGUGCCCCUCUCACGGCCCAGGCCAUCCAGGAGGGGCUAAGGAAAGAGCCUGGGCACCGCGCGUCUGCAGUGGAGCUGUGGAGGAAGGUCAGCCUGGCCCUGCAGCAUGGUAAGAACCCCACACUGGCUGCAGGGGUGAGAGAGUCAACACGGCCCAUACCGACCCAGCACCAAAGAGAUUCUCGCUGGGACAUGCCGGAGGGCCCGCACUGCAGGGUCGUUUGCAGGAGAGGAGUAGGCUCAGUGGCGGGUCCCUUGCUGGGAGACUGGAAAGGCCAGAGGCAAGGGUGGUGGGCAGGGUGGGCCCCAUGGAGCACCACUCAGCAGUUAAAGCAACCCAGUGGCGCAGAGCAACCUGGCUGGAUUUUGAAACCGUGGUGCGCUGGGCAAAAAGGAGACGGACAGAGCGAGGCCUAGAACACAAUACCUUUUUUGUAAACGAGAUAUUGAAAAAUAAAAACAACACACAGUUUGCAAGAACACGAUCGAACCCAAAGUGACACAGCAAAUAGAGGGUCACGGGGCGGGGGGGGGUGGGCGGUGCAGGGGAGAGGCAGUGGUUAUGGGAAUGAAAGGGGAAUACAUAAAACAGGAGAGAGAUCCUGAAUGCCCCCCCCCCACAAAACAUAGAUGAACUGCCCCCCCCCCCCCCNNNNNNNNNNNNNNNNNNNNNNNNNNAGAUGGGGGCGGGGCGGGGCGGGUGGUCAAGGAGGCCAGCGUACAUGGGAACUCAAAGUUGGUGUUACCUCGGAGCUGUUUUUAAAUCUUUACCAUUUACAAAGUCCUUCUCUGGAGCCAAUUCUGGCAUUUUUAAAUUUGUGAUGGUUACCUAGAAGGAAAAUAGAAUAAAAGACAGAAAUACCAUCCUGCUCCCACUGUGGGAGGCCGUCUUACGGAAGAGGCCGCCUCCGAGACCUCAGCGUCCCCUAGUGGGGCAAGGGCCCUCCGUCACUGCUUGCCUCCAGCCCUCUGCUCGGGAAGGGCCACCUGGCCGGGCCUGUUUCCACCUCACCGCCUGUGCUCUGUUUUGUAGUGGGAGGUCUGAGGAGCCCUUGGAGAGGAGAGUAUAAAGAGCCAAGACAACCGCCGCCACACCAAGCCCAUCCGCCGCCCAGCCAAGGCCACUCUCCCCGGACGCCACAGGCCCAGCCGAGGGAGCUCUCACCUGGGGCUCCGGGGCCCCAGCCAACCGAGGACACGACAGGCGGGGCCCCUAAGCUCCAGCCUCCUCUACCCCCAGAACCCCCAGAGCGGAACAAGUCUCCAAGCCUGAACUGGGGCAAGGAGGAGUCUGGAACAUGGGAACCAUUACCUCUGUCCUCCCUGGACCCGGCCCCUGCCAAAAACCCCAGCUCGGUGGAGCGGAAGGCGACCUUCCCAGAACAGGAGCUGCAACAACUGGAAAUAGGUAUGGGCGGCCACGGCUGCGACCUCUGGGUCCCCGCGCACAGACCUGGGCCUCCCCCAAGGCCCGGGCUUCAUCCCCUGCGCAGCCAGCGUGCGCUUUCUUCUAGGCCCUUCCCUCAGAGGUCAGCUCCUGCGGUCCGUGCAGCCCCACACACAGCUGGGCCGGGCCACUCCCGGUCUUCCACAGCCAUCCUCUGCCUUCCUCUCCAGAACUGUUUCUGAACAGCCUGUCCCAGCCGUUUUCACUGGAGGAGCAGGAGCAGAUUCUCUCGUGCCUCAGCGUCGACAGCCUCUCUCUGUCAGACGACAGCGAGAAGGUAAGCCGGCCGGGGACCCAGGGCCGGGGCACGGAGCUUUGUGUCCAGCUGGUGAAGGGGCUGUGUGCAAGCAGCGGCGAAGGGAGGCUGGUGGGGGGGUCACCCCUUCCUUUUGGAAGGGCUCCCCACCGGGGCAGGGUGUCACGCUUGCUCAGGAUGAGCCAAUCCGUCUCCAACGCACCUGGGGAACUGGGGAACCGUUUGGCUACUCGCGAUUGUGGGGAUGGAGAUUUGGGCUUGGGGCCCCCUAGAAGUACUCUUCACCCCCCACUCCAGACCCCAGCUUAGCCCCAAAAGUGCCCAGUGGGGCCACGCUCCAGCCCGGGACACGAGCGGUUCCUCGCCCCCGAGCCCUUCCGCCCCAAGCCCCAUCAAGGCCACAGAUGGUUCCCCAAGCCCAGGGGCCCGAGUUGUGCCCCCUCUUGUUUCAGAACCCGUCAAAGGCCUCUCAGAGCUCGCGGGACACCCUGAGUUCCGGUGUGCACUCAUGGAGCAGCCAGGCAGAGGCUCGCAGCUCCAGCUGGAACAUGGUGCUGGCACGGGGACGGCCCACCGACACUCCAAGCUAUUUCAAUGGUACACCCCAAUACUUGCCUGCCCAGCUGCCCCCACAGCACCUGAUCGGCCUGCGACGAGGGAGUCCGAGGCAGUUUAUGUCCCCCUUCUCCUGGCGCAGCGGGGGAAGGGAGAGGAAGGCACCGGGCGCCCGGACUGGAGGAGCCUGGCCACGAAGUCGGUCUAGAGCAAAGGCCCUGAUUGCCCCAGAGCCUUCCCUGGUGGGGCAGUCAGUGAAGGACCUGGCCCCUCAUGGGUUGCCGAUGGAGUUCUAGAAGGCCCCUACUGUGGGGCACAGAGCGGUCUCUCCUGGCCUAGCGUCAAGAAGUAAAUAAUGCCUUCCAAGGGGAACAGGAGGAACGAGGCCUUAUGAGCAUUUAAAAAAAAUUUUUUUUAAUGUUUAUUUAUAAUUUUUGAGAGAGAGAGAGAGAGAGCACAGGUGGCAGGGGGGCAGAGAGAGAGAGGGAGACACAGAAUCCAAAGUAGGCUCCAGGCUCUGGGCUGUCGGCACAGAGCCCGACGUGGGGCUCGAACUCACGAACCGGGAGAUCAUGACCUGAGCCGAAGUCGGCCGCUUAACCGACUGAGCCACCCAGGUGCCCCGACCUCGUGAGCAUUUUGAUCGAGAACUCCGCAACAAGUUUGCUGGGAUCCUCCUCUGGGAUUUAAAGUCAUUAAGACGAGAAAGAAAACAUACAUGGACUUGUUUUCAAGGGUGGCUGCGUAGGCUAUGUCGUGAUUUUGAUAGAACGAGGAUUUCAUCAGCUCCCGCUCUUACCAGGGCCGGUGUGACACAUGGCAUCAAGCCCCCGUGGCCUGGCCGACGGCUGUCCCAACUGAGGGGACAUUACAGCCUAAGUUGCCCACAAUCUAAUUUAAGAGUCUCUGUUUCCACUUCCUUUUUGCUUUGUGUGCAGGUUGGAAUGCUAGUUCCCCAUAAGAGCCAACCUUAGCUCUUUGCAUUGUGCAGGCCAAAUUCUAGAUGUUGACAGAAAAUUACCAGGAAGAGCUAGCAGGCGUAGAACAUUAGGGCCACUCUAGCCUAAAUGUCACAUCGGCUUCCUCACAGCCAUCCUGCGUCCCUCUCCGUGGGGCUCCUUACAGAGAGCCAGCAGCCACUCUCCUGACGGUCACCUUGCCUGCCUUCUAGGUGUGAAAAUCCAAAUACAGUCUCUCAACGGCGAACACCUGCACAUCCGGGAGUUUCACCGGGUCAAGGUGGGGGACAUCGCAACAGGCAUCAGCAGUCAGGUAAGGGGACAGGUGCACACUUAAGAGGCAGAGUCCCAGAAGUCAGUGUACCUGGCCCAGCCCUCCAGGGGGAAGGCUUUUGAAUAAGUAGAAAUGGCACUGUAGGGAAUAGUUGACUUCGGUUAUCCCCCAAGGGCUCAGGGCAAGCCCCCCGGUGGUGACUGAGGGGUCCCCAGGACCUACCCUUGGGCUGGUUGAGAUUCUCCAGAAAGAAAGGCAAGAGUAUGCCUUCGGGACAACCCACCUGGCUGGAGAGAGACCUCCGCUUUGCACUUCUGGGCAGCCCCCAAACCCCAUGCUGCUGUCUCAGGCCUGCUGGUUUGCUCUGCCCCCAGAUCCCAGCCGCAGCCUUCAGCUUGGUGACCAAGGACGGGCGGCCCGUGCGCUAUGACAUGGAGGUGCCAGACUCGGGCAUCGACCUGCAGUGCACCCUGGCCCCUGAUGGCAGCUUUGCCUGGAGCUGGAGGGUCAAGCAUGGCCACCUGGAGAACAGGCCCUAACCCAGCCUUCCACCACUGGCUCCGCUCCACCGGAAGCGGCCUGCCUUCUUGGUGUCAGUGCCGCCCCCGACACACGGGCUCAGCCUGCUCCCGGGGACCUGCCAUCCUGUGGCUUCACUGGUGGGACUAGGGGUGAGCAGAAUGCCUCCCAGGAUCUGCUGUGUCCUGCCUGACCCUGCCAAGAGAACGCCCGGUGCCCACGUGAGGAGGAGGAAGGAGGCAGGAGGCCGCUCCCCAUGGGGAGCCAAAAGGGUCUUCUCUGCUCUGGUCCAAACAAGCUGGCCUGACCUGCUUAGAUCAGUGACCACUUGCUGGCAGUCAGGAUAGAGCAGCUUCCGGCCUGGGUCAGGGAGGGGUGGGCGAGCCCCUCGGCCUCCAAGCAGGUGUGAGGGUGUCGAGUGUCCCAGGACCCACACCCAGGUCCAAUGCAGGAGCGGGACGGCAGGCGUACCCACCCCCGGAUUAGCAGGGAGCCCUCUGACCCCCUUGCCUGGCCAUCGAACCCCCCUUUAGACCUAGCAGCUUUUCUGCCAGAGUCAGGGAGGGAGGAAGGCCGGACACUGGAAGUCUCCCAGGGAGAACUCGCUCGUCAUGUUGUUGCAGCAUAGGUCCUGAGCCGAACUCCGCUUCAGCCAAGGACCAGAGGUGUCUUAAGUGAAAUGGUUCUCAGUCCCCAAGCACAUGUCCCUUUGCCGCCGGCCACCAGUCUUCCCCAGAGCAGCAGGCUCUGAGUCCCAGCACUGCUCCCGGCUGGCUGGCACUCAGCCCCCUCAUCUGUCAAAGUGAAGGGCGACGGGAGCCCUACCCGGCAGGAGCCGUCUGGAGCUGGGGUGUGGCAGAUGUGUGAGAAAGCAGCAGCCGCAGGCACCCCCCCAUCCACCCCACCCCCCAUUCCUCCCGGCCACGGCUUGGAACAUCAUGCACACCAGCUUCCUGAGACACAGCCCCGGCAUCACACUCACACCAGCCCCGCCCUGCCCCUCGUCCAGGGACAACUUGCCAACUGCACUUUGCACUCUGAUGACCUCAAAGCACUUUCACGGCUGCCCUCCAGGAGGGCAGGUCAGUGGCUCUGCACGCGCUAAAGCAGGCCAGGAGAUGGGGUGAAGGGAUUCAAGUCUUGACCUGUCUUUACGCACACGACCCCUCAAACCUCCGUUUUUCUUUAAGAUGAGCCCCACCCCCCACCCCGUUGCCCCAGCCCUGUCUUUUCGUCAGUGGGGGUGCUGAUCAGGACUCAUGUAGCAUUAAUCAACUGUGAAUCAUUGUGUGGGGGCCUGCCAGCCUCCGCUUCUGGGGGUGAGGGGUGGCCCCUGAGAUCCCUCCUUGGGAGAAGCUCGUCCCCGUGUCUUGCCAAGGCGGCGUCUGUCCAGCUAUCCACAUCGAGCCAUUCUCCUCCCCAUGGAGGGACCCCCAGCCCCCAGGACAUGAAGAUCUCCAGCCUUGGUACUGCAGAGUUCAGGUUGUAGAGAACUCUUUGUAAGCAAUAAAGUUUGGGGUGACGACAAGCGUGUUAGGC